rnacentral:rRNA from 1 species
UACGUAGGGUGCGAGCGUUGUCCGGAAUUAUUGGGCGUAAAGAGCUCGUAGGCGGUGUGUCACGUCGGCCGUGAAAACCUGGGGCUCAACUCUGGGCGUGCGGUCGAUACGGGCAUCACUUGAGUUCGGCAGGGGAGACUGGAAUUCCUGGUGUAGCGGUGAAAUGCGCAGAUAUCAGGAGGAACACCGGUGGCGAAGGCGGGUCUCUGGGCCGUUACUGACGCUGAGGAGCGAAAGCGUGGGGAGCGAACAGG